AUUUUUUAGUCCAAUUCCUUAUUAUUAAUUUGUUAUUGUUUGCAACAGGUUGGAGAUGGGGAUGAUGACAGACCAGCCAGCCGAACUCAAAUUGGAUUAGACAUCAUGCGCCACCUAGUUGCUGAAGCUCGAGAGGACCUUUAUGGACAAAAAAUCCUGUUCAAGAUAGUUCUGUCUGGAAUUCCAUACCACCUCCAGAGAAUGGAAAAUGUCUUCAAAUUCUGAUGUGCCAGCAGCCUGAAGUGGUCAAACAAUUUGAAACUGGAUUCCCAUAUUUCAAGAGAAUGCAGAUGUUAGUCACCCCUGUCAAACUUGUUUGUGUGAAUAAUACAAAAUGUGACAUUUACAGCAAAUAUGUAAUAAUUGAGCAGCGUAUAGACAAUUGCAAAACUCUGUUAUGUUAAUUUUGUGCCAUAUUUAGCAUUUAAAACCAGAUACUUUCAGUUUUUGCUGGUUUGUUCGGUUUCUUUUAUUCAUGAUUUUUUUAAGAAGACACCAGUUUGGUGUAUAGUAGUUAUGGUGUUUAACUGUCAAUGAAUCCAAGAUCACUGUAUGUUGUCGAACUGAUAUAUAUGUUAAACAUUGAAGAUCCAGCUAUCAGUAAUUGUGCUUUUGAGAACACUGAAUUUUAUCAACAUAAUUUGACACUGUACAUAUUGCAGGCAUUUUUUUCAAAUCUAUAUAAAUUAAUAGUAGAUAACUGUAGCCUUAAUUUGUGCAUAUUUACAUAUGUACAUAUGUGAAUAGUUUAACAGCCUCAUGAUGUCAUUCUGUAUAAAUUAUAUAAUAUAAUCAUUUUAAUUGUUUCAAUUGUUUUCAUAUAUACAUGGUUUUGGAACUGAAAAUUGGUCUUGCUCUAUUGGCUGGUACACUCAACAAAUAUAAAAAAAAUAUAUGAAAUAGUGCUUAGUGAGCUCAGCUGACAGUUUUUCACUGGGUUCUUAUUUUAUAUAUUUUAUUGUAUAUUCUAUAUAGGUGCUAAAUUUAGAAUAUAUUUUCAGUUCUGUUGAAUGUUUAUUGUAAAUGCAAUUUAUCAUUUCUUUUUAGAUCACCCUGUGGGUUAAACAAUAAGUGAGGGUUAGAAGUCAUUUGUUUGUAAUUACACCUUGAUAAGUUUAAUCUUUAAUACACUGGGGCUUGAAAGUCCCAUGAUAUGAACAAUUGGUUUUGACUAUUUUCAUGCUUCUUUUAGAAUAUACCUCAUAAGAGGUCAUAACAUAUAUGGCUUUUAGAAGUUAGAAAAUUUUAACAUUAUUUAUUUAUACAAUUUUAUUUCCCACCAGCUGUAAAAAAUAACAACCUUUUUAUCAAAAAGCAAGACAAAAAGGUCACUGUUGGUGAUCUGUAAAAAAAAAUGUGAUGCUGCAUAUCUAACUGUCACAGGUCUUUUGGUUUAUAGUUGAUUUAGCAAAGCUGUUUACAAUAUUCAUUAAUUGAAAUUUAGAUAAUUUUGAUCAUUAGACAUGAUGUUUGUCAGAUUUGUCAUUGCAAACACAAAUUAUUUUAAAGUUUAUUGAAAGCAUCGUUAAGAUAAUUCUGUAAUUAAAGCAGAAUUGUAUUUGCCCUUAAAAUCUAAACAACCCAUUUGUUCAUAAUUAACAUUUUGCAACUUUUUUGGCGGGGGUGUGGUGUGUUUUUGUAACAAACAAAUAAGAAUAUAUUCUGUAUUCUCACUUCGAUAUUUUGCAGACAAUUUUCCAGAGCUGCUUGGCUACAUAUUGUUCUUAUAUAAUCAUAAUUAUUAGUAAUUGAUUAAAUAUUUUGCCAUGUUUUACCAUCAUAUUUAAACAGAUUUUUGCCCAUUCAAUUCUAGUUAAAAUUAUAAUUAUCCCUGCUUGUAAUAUACUUUAGUGCAACAUUAUUGAUACGUGAUCAUUUUAGCUUGACUAUUCGAUGAUUAAUAAGAGCUAUCCUAGUCACCCGAGUGUCAGCAUCAGCAUUACCGCUUAUGUUAAAGUUUGCAUAACCACCUCAAAUAUUUUCAAAGUCCAUUGACAUACUGUUUUGAAACUUCGCACGCUUGUUCACCAUCAUGCUCCCAACCUGUACACAGGAGGAGGUCACUGUAUCGAGCAUUUUGACAUAAAUAUGCCCCUUUUUUACUUAGAAUUUACGUGUAAGUUUGGGAACCACCUCAAAUAUUUUCAAAGUCCAUUGACAUCUGGCUUUGAAACUUUGCACGCUUGUUCACCAUCAUGCCCCAAACCUGUACACAGGAGGCGGUAACUCUAUCAAGUAUUUAGACAAAAUUAUGCCCCUUUUUCAACUUAAAACUUUUCAGUCCAUACACCGAAAAGCGGCGGAAUAGUCAAGCGCGCUGUCUCUGUGACAGCUCUUGUUUUUAUUUAUUUUCUGUUUGUAACAUAUUCUUCAAAUGCGUUUGUGUACUUGAUCUCAAAUGCAUAGUAGCUUUAUUUAAGUUAAUUAAGAAGAAUAACUCUAAACUUCAUAUAAAAUAUAGAGUAAUGCAUUAUAUAUUAUGUAUACAGUAUUAUUGAAGAUUGUUGCGUAUACACUUAAUAAAUUGCUAACAGAAACAGAACUGCUUGUUAUUUAAAAAGUGUUAUUAACAUAAGUGGACUUAAAGUGUCCGGCAAUAGCACUUCAAGCUCGUAGAUGCAGCGCCUUAGUUCAUAUUAGGUAUUAUAAGAGUCAGUUUAGGAUGCUCAGGAGAGGAAUAGUGUUAACUGUUGUUAAG